rnacentral:rRNA from 1 species
GACGAACGCUGGCGGCGUGCUUAACACAUGCAAGUCGAACGGAAAGGCCCUGCUUUUGUGGGGUGCUCGAGUGGCGAACGGGUGAGUAACACGUGAGUAACCUGCCCUUGACUUUGGGAUAACUUCAGGAAACUGGGGCUAAUACCGGAUAGGAGCUCCUGCUACAUGGUGGGGGUUGGAAAGUUUCGGCGGUUGGGGAUGGACUCGCGGCUUAUCAGCUUGUUGGUGGGGUAGUGGCUUACCAAGGCUUUGACGGGUAGCCGGCCUGAGAGGGUGACCGGCCACAUUGGGACUGAGAUACGGCCCAGACUCCUACGGGAGGCAGCAGUGGGAAUAUUGCACAAUGGGCGGAAGCCUGAUGCAGCAACGCCGCGUGCGGGAUGACGGCCUUCGGGUUGUAAACCGCUUUCGCCUGUGACGAAGCGUGAGUGACGGUAAUGGGUAAAGAAGCACCGGCUAACUACGUG